GUUCCUCUCUUCUGCUUCUUUGCAAUUUCAGUUUCAGCUGCAAAUGCCAAAUCACUGUGUAAUAAAAUCUGAACUCCUGUUGUGUUGUUUGUGGUCUGGGUGUAAACAAGAAUUCGUGGAAAUCCCCAGAGCACGCUUCGUAGGAUGUACAGCCUAAUUCUCUAGAUGGAAGAGGCUCAGUAAAUUAACCAAGUGCUCGAAUUCUUUGAUUCUUCCACGAAGAGAAUGAGCCUGUCUUUUUCUUUCUCUCUAAGGAGGCCAUAACCUUCCCCUGUGACAGGCAAGCCAAAGUUUGCACUCUCAGAGAAACUUCUGGUCACUGGCCCACAUUCACAACCAAAUUGCAGCUGAGUCAGAACAGCUGUGCUGAUGGCUGGGACUCUCUCAGGACAGCUUGGAAGGCCCGACCUGGCAGCUCUCUGGGCCCACCGGAGCUCUCCUGCCUUGUCUUGUACCUGCCUCUCUGUGCUCCAGCCACACUGCCAUCUCUCCGUUUCUCAAAUGCUACGUAAAGCCGCAUUCUCUUCCCACAGAUAGAAAAUGCUGUGCUCGCCCUUGAAAAGCCUCUCUCUCCAAUGAAUUCCCACUCAUUCCUCAAUUUUCAGUUGAAGCAUCAUUCAUUCCUUUGGGAAACCUUUUCUAGCCCCUAACACCCUGCAUUGGUCCUAACAUACCUUGGCAUGACUGCUGUAGCUCUGUAUCUGCGUGGGUACUGACGGAUGUGACUCCAGGAGGGAGGGUGUGCAGCCUGUGGCUCACCACGGUAUCCCCAGCACCUGUCUCUCUGCUUGCCUAUUAACUUCCUAAAUUAGUGCAUUUUCCCCUGUCAUUUAAAAAAAAACUUUAAUUUUUUCAUUUGUAUAUAUCGACAGAGCACAAGUACAGAUUUCUUGCAUGCCUAUGUUGUAUUGUGGUAAAGUCUGGGCUUCUAUGUGUACCCAUCACUCAAAUAGUAAACAUUGUGCCUGAGAGGUAAUUUUUCAGCCCUCACCCCCCUCCACUCUCCCACCUUUUGGAGUCUCCAAUGUCUAUUAUUCCACUCCAUAUGUCCACAUGUACCCAUUGUUUAGCUCCCACUUGUGAGUGAGAACAUGCGGUAUUUGACCUCCUCUUUCUGAGUUAUUUCACUUAGGAUAGUGGCUCCCAGUUCCAUCUAUGUUGCUGCAAAAAAACAUGAUUUCAGUCUUUUUUAUGCCUGCAUGGUAUUUCCAUGGUGUACAUGUACCAUAUUUUUUUUAAUCCAAUCCUCCUUUGAUGGACACUUAGGCUGACUCCAUAUUUUUGCUAUUGUGUAUAGUGCCACGAUCAACAUACAAGUGCAGGUG
rnacentral:lncRNA from 1 species